CAGUCGCCGCGGUAAUACAGAGGGUGCGAGCGUUAAUCGGAUUUACUGGGCGUAAAGCGUGCGUAGGCGGCUUCUUAAGUCGGAUGUGAAAUCCCUGAGCUUAACUUAGGAAUUGCAUUCGAUACUGUGAAGCUAGAGUAUGGGAGAGGAUGGUAGAAUUCCAGGUGUAGCGGUGAAAUGCGUAGAGAUCUGGAGGAAUACCGAUGGCGAAGGCAGCCAUCUGGCCUAAUACUGACGCUGAGGUACGAAAGCAUGGGGAGCAAACAGGAUUAGAUACCCCGGUAGUCCCUGUCUCUUAUAC
rnacentral:rRNA from 1 species